rnacentral:rRNA from 1 species
UACGAAGGUCCCAAGCGUUAUUCGGAAUCACUGGGCGUAAAGGGCGCGUAGGCGGCGUGGUAAGUCAGAUGUGAAAUCCCGGGGCUCAACCCCGGAACUGCAUCCGAUACUGCCAUGCUAGAGUAUUGGAGAGGAAGCUGGAAUUCUAGGUGUAGGGGUGAAAUCCGUAGAUAUCAGGAGGAACACCGAUGGCGAAGGCAGCUUUCUGGCUAACAUCUGACGCUGAGGCGCGAAAGCGUGGGUAGCAAACAGG